rnacentral:rRNA from 1 species
GAUUCAGUUAAAGUAAAUAGAGCUGGCUAACCUGGUGCCAGCCGCCGCGGUUACACCAUGGGGCUCAAAUUGAUCCUCCUCGGCGUAAAGCGUGAUUUAAGAGAUACUACCAUGGUGUCAAAAAAACACUAAGCCGUGACACGCUUGUGUUUAAGAAGAACAGAAACGAAAGUUACACCAACCCAAUCAACUUGAACUCACGACAGCUAGGAAACAAACUGGGAUUAGAUACCCCACUAUGCCUAGCCGUAAACUUUAAUUUACACCUACAAUCGCCCGGGAACUACGAGCUAAGCUUAAAACCCAAAGGACUUGACGGUACCCCAAAUCCACCUAGAGGAGCCUGUCCUAUAAUCGAUAAUCCCCGUUUAACCUCACCACUUCUUGUUAAUCAGCCUGUAUACCUCCGUCGCCAGCUUACCGCGUGAGCGUCAUAAGUGAGCUUAAUGCCCAUACGCCAACACGUCAGGUCAAGGUGCAGCUAAUGAAGUGGGAAGAGAUGGGCUACACUCUCUAACAUAGAAAAAACGAAAGACUACCUAUGAAAUCUAGUCAGAAGGAGGAUUUAGUAGUAAAAAGAAAGCAGAGCAUUCUUUUUAAUUCGGCACUGGGGUGUGUACACACCGCCCGUCACCCUCUUCAAGGCCUAAUCAAAGUACAUAACAUAACUUUGCCACAUAGAAGAGGCAAGUCGUAACAUGGUAAGUAUACCGGAAGGUGUGCUUGGAAA